CAUAAAUCAUCAUCUAACAUUUCUAAAGGGGGCGAUUUAGGAUCGACAAGCCAAUCAAGCAAAAGUCUUUCAAAAACAGCUCCCAAUCUUUCAGCCGAUAUUGCUACA
rnacentral:sRNA from 12 species